rnacentral:rRNA from 1 species
UACGUAGGGGGCAAGCGUUGGUCCGGAUUUAUUGGGCGUAAAGAGCGUGUAGGCGGCCUGACAAGUCUGCUGUGAAAACUCGAGGCUCAACCUCGAGAUGUCGGCGGAAACUGUCUGGCUAGAGUCCGGAAGAGGAGAGUGGAAUUCCGUGGUGUAGCGGUGAAAUGCGCAGAUAUCAGGAGGAACACCCGUGGCGAAAGCGGCUCUCUGGGACGGUACUGACGCUGAGACGCGAAAGCGUGGGGAGCAAACAGG